rnacentral:lncRNA from 1 species
UUCGAGAAGUGGAUUGAGCAGCCAUUGCAGCAAAAACAGUCUUGUCUGCAUUUCCACCACCAAUGGACAAAAGGGUUUUGACAGAAGGGUUCUUAAGUUGUACAGUUCUUGUGAAUUGGGAAAAAGAGGCAUUGUUUGUGGAGGAAAUUGUGAGUUGAUAGGUUUGGGGAUCAAGAUUUGAAAAUGCACAAAAUAAAUGUG